CCUACGGGUGGCUGCAGUGGGGAAUAUUGCACAAUGGGCGAAAGCCUGAUGCAGCGACGCCGCGUGAGUGAUGAAGUACUUCGGGAUGUAAAGCUCUAUCAGCAGGGAAGAAAAUGACGGUACCUGAUGAAGAAGCCGCGGCUAACUACGUGCCAGCAGCCGCGGUUAUACGUAGGGGGCAAGCGUUAUCCGGAGUUACUGGGUGUAAAGGGAGCGUAGAGGGGAACACAAGUCUGGAGUUAAAAUCCGGGGCUUAAACCCCGAACUGCUUUGGAAACUGUGUAGCUUGAGUGCGGGAGAGGUAAGUGGAAUUCCUAGUGUAGCGGUGAAAUGCGUAGAUAUUAGGAGGAACACCAGUAGCGAAGGCAGGUUACUGGACUGUAACUGACGUUGAGGCACGAAAGCGUGGGGAGCAAACAGGAUUAGAUACCCUUGUAGUC
rnacentral:rRNA from 1 species